GCAAAAGGGAAAAGAAGUGCACAGAACCAUUCAUCUUCUUCUUGCCUGCGUGAGCUCUUUCUCUCUUUUCUCCCAUGUUAGCUUGAAAACCCUCUUAGCCACACACACUACAACUCGCCUCUUUCUCUCAAAAUUCUCUUCUCAACAGGCAUCAAUAAACAUGUUCAACUUCUAUUUUUCUUACCUUCCCAAGCUAAACGAAAUUAGCUCAAAACCCCCCAAAAUUCCAACUUCUUUAAUUUCUAGUUGCAUGUGCAAUUAACUUCACAAAUUGAGACUUUUGAGUGUUGGGAACUAAGGUAAGAGGAGUUAAAAUUCAGCUAAUCCCUUCCAUUUUUAUCAGAUUCGAACUCACCCUCACCACGUUGACCAAAGAUCUAAAUUCUCCAUUCCUCUUGUGAUGAUGCUUUUCAUGUGCAAAUCCCUACCCAAAUUCGUGUACUGGAGCUAAGUACAGGUGCUAAUCGAGUCAUAGCCGUUGCUGUGUAGCCCAGACUUGUGUAAUUGUUGCAUUUUCGGAUUCUACACCUAAUUCCCUUCAGUUUGGAUAUAAAUUUGGUAUGUUUUGGAUUAGAAAUGGAUUCGGAAAACGCGUUUGAAGUUGGAUAUUGAUGCUGGAAACUACUUACGGGUUUUGGCAUGGAUUUUGCAGAAUAAGCUAAAAUGUGAGUUUAAGUUGGGUGAAGGAUUCCAUAACUGAUUAUGUAUGCUUAGGUGGCUGAGUAAGAGUUUGGUUUGAAGUUGGAAUGCAAAAUUUAGAGGUUGGAAGUCACUAGCAGUUUUAUGCAGAAAAUCUAUCGCGAGUUUGCUUAUGCGAGCGGCACCAUCGGAUGUUUCUAAGCGGACGAGAUGGCUCGGUACUGCUAGCAAUUUUCAGACAAACAGAUUAUACAAGACAUGAGUAAGAAGAAGCUGAGGAUUGAAGAUGAUAGAUGAUAUAUGCUAUUAGCUUCUGCCUUAUUAGUUAUAUUAAUCUGUUAUGUGUAUUUCACCGGAUUAUCUCCGUUGUGUAAUGGAAAUUCAUUUCUUGUACCUAAUGAUGGAUUUAUGUAUUUAUGAAUUUUUCGAACAAUUUACUUUGUAAUUUUAUUGUAUUCGGAUUCCAUUAUGUAUAUCUCUGUCAAUAUUCUAGACAAUUGACAUGGGGUGUUACAGGUGAGCACUC